rnacentral:lncRNA from 1 species
UAAAAGUGAGAUAUAUUAGCAAAUGUGUAGAAAGAUAUAUAUUAUAAGAGUGAUCAUUUUUUUAUAUUAACAAGAGACAUCUUACGAAAAUGCUCAUGUUUUUGUAAUAACCAGAGCAACGUUAAAAUAAAAUAAUAAGUUUGUUUAAUAUCACCUUUUAAACAUGCUAUGAACAUAUCCAUAUAUAGUCCGGCGGCCACAAGCAUAUUUCAGACGAAUUGUGCACAUCCUGCUACAAGCAUGAAAUUUAGAAGAGACCUUCCUCAAAUAUUACUCUUUUAGUUCAGAUAGGGAGGCAUUUGAAAAAAGGUCUCACUUCCGGUAAAAUCCAAAAUGGCGGACAUCAUACUUAAAUCGGCC